CAGGACUCUCCCUUAAGUUGUUCUACUUUUCCUUUUUCUCUUUAUAUUUUUCUUUUUCAUUUUUCUCAAACAAAGGCAGCCGAUCUAGGUGUUUUGCUCUUUGAAUCUCCAACAAUCCAUCAUCACUUUAGAUGCUUGCUUGAUAGGUUGUAGCUUUUGUGGGGGCUGAUCUCCGUUCUGCACACUUGCAGGUAAUUUGGAACUCGUCUGAUAUUCGAGCCAAAGAGGAAUAGAUUGAGGCACCGACAUACUAGCUACAAUUCAUCGACAGGGAAGCUUAUGGCAGCGCACACGCCAUCAGUAUUGCCUAAGGCACGUUGCUUCCAAUUACUACAAGAAAUAUCCAUCUAAGAGUGAACGACGACAAGUGACCAACAUGGGGUAUAAAAUAAAUAAAGAUCGUUUUCAUGAGAUGUUGGCAGUUUUGCGUUCAAUUAACGGCGAAGGCGCGGACUACAUUUGUAACAUACCUUUCGAACAGUGGGCACAAGCAUACGACGGUAGCCUACGAUAUGGUCAUAUGACCUCAAACCUGGCUGAAUGCAUAAAUUCUAUUCUAAAAGGAACGUGCCAUCUACCAAUAACAUCGGUUGUGCGAGAGACAUAUUUUCGUUUGGCGGCGUUAUUUCCAAAGCGAGUAGCAAGUUAUGCAGGCCAGAUAAAGAGAGGCCAUGUAUGGUGCAAUAAGGUAGUGCAAGAAAUUAACAAGGCUAAGGCGCGACCGAACACCAUGCACACAGUGUCACGAUCGAGACAACUUAUGGUUUCGCGUGACAGAGUUUGACAGACCGCACCAAGGUGUUAUUGGCAGGCAAUAUCGUGUACACUUGCGAAAUAGGACUUGCGGUUGUAGGAUGUUUGACGCACUUCGAUAUCCAUGCGCUCAUGUAAUUGCAGCUUUUCAGAAUCUCCAUCUGGAUCCUAUGAAUUAUGUCGACGAAGUGUACAAAUAAGAAAAUAUGUACAACGUUUGGAGACACAUAUUUCCACCGGUCCUAGAUGAACAUAAGUGGCCAUUUGUAUCACUUGCUCCCUUUAAGCUGUUACCGGAUAGAGAAUUGCGUCGCAAACCAAAGGGACGACCUUACUCAACUAGAAUACGUAACAAUAUGGAUAUCCGAGAAACAACCAGUCAACAGAAGUUGUACGAAUGGUGUAGAAACCCAGGCCAUACAAGCCGAUCAUGCCCAAAUCGCAAUAGUUGAACGUUAUUGUAAAAAACUUUGUAUUAUUUAUAUUUUUUUAAAUCAAAAAUUGGUACAA